GACGAACGCUGGCGGCGUGCUUAACACAUGCAAGUCGAACGGAAAGGCCCUGCUUUUGUGGGGUGCUCGAGUGGCGAACGGGUGAGUAACACGUGAGUAACCUGCCCUUGACUUUGGGAUAACUUCAGGAAACUGGGGCUAAUACCGGAUAGGAGCUCCUGCUGCAUGGUGGGGGUGGGAAAGUUUCGGCGGUUGGGGAUGGACUCGCGGCUUAUCAGCUUGUUGGUGGGGUAGUGGCUUACCAAGGCUUUGACGGGUAGCCGGCCUGAGAGGGUGACCGGCCACAUUGGGACUGAGAUACGGACCAGACUCCUACGGGAGGCAGCAGUGGGGAAUAUUGCACAAUGGGCGGACGCCUGAUGCAGCAACGCCGCGUGCGGGAUGACGGCCUUCGGGUUGUAAACCGCUUUCGCCUGUGACGAAGCGUGAGUGACGGUAAUGGGUAAAGAAGCACCGGCUAACUACGUG
rnacentral:rRNA from 1 species